CCUACGGGAGGCAGCAGUGGGGAAUUUUGGGCAAUGGGCGCAAGCCUGACCCAGCAACGCCGCGUGAAGGAAGACGGCUUUCGGGUUGUAAACUUCUUUUCUCAGGGACGAAGCAAGUGUCGGUACCUAAGGAAUAAGCCACGGCUAACUACGUGCCAGCAGCCGCGGGAAUACGUGGGUGGCAAGCGUUAUCUGGAUUUACUGGGGGUGAAGGUCGUGUAGGCGGGGAAGGAAGUCAGAUGUGAAAACCACGGGCUCAAACUGGGGACUGCAUUGGAUACUGGUUUUCUUGAGUACUGUAGAGGCAGGCGGAAUGCCUAGUGUAGCAGUGAAAUGCGUAGAUAUUAGGAAGAACACCAGUGGCGAAGGCGGUCUGCUGGAAAGCAACUGACGCUGAGGCGCGAAAGCGUGGGGAGCAAACAGGAUUAGAUACCCGGGUAGUC
rnacentral:rRNA from 1 species